UUCAUUUAUUGCUCGCUCUUGCAGAAAUACUACGUCAAAGUGCUCGGAGGGUACAACUGCAGUCAAACCAGCGUGUCCCCCUGCUUUAACUGUAACUCUUCCUACUUCAGUAUAAUUAAGCAUGUACUUUCUGCAUGUGUAUAAAUAGGUCCAUGCCAGAACGAGAGUCUUGUGCACCGUGGGUGGGUAAGCCAGAUGCUGGGCGCACCGGAGUCCCUGCUUCUCCGGAUAGCAGCACCAGGCGUUGUCCUCAGCCCCACCUCUGACCCAGCUGCCUUAUCGUGGUGGGUGUGUGGGUCAGGUUUGUCAUCUGCCCUUCCUGGUGCAUGCAAAUCCAGCCUACCUGGGUAUUGAAAUCAAGUUCAUUGCCGUGCUAGCUGAACACCUUAUAAGGUGACGUUAAUCAAAAAAGAAUAAUGAGCUCUCAGAUUCACCAAAGUUGGAAGUAAGGACAAAGUGCUCAAGUAAAAUGGCUCUCGUUCUAAACCGGUCCUUAUUUCUAAGGCUUCUGCAUCUACAAAACAGGAUAAAGUGGUUUUUAUUCUGUAGCAAAACACUUUGAGACUAAUGGAUGAAAAGAGCUAGGUACUGCUCAGGAAGAUGGAGAUCUUUUUUACCCUCUUUUCCUAUUCCCUUGAAAGUAAUUCCUGCCAUCCUUUGAAACAGUCUGACUAAGUCCCUAAAACUCAAGACACUUCUUCGAGAUCCUCUGACUUGCUGACUUUUCUGUCUUUCUGCGUCUACGGCGAAUCUUGCUGAACGGGUUUAACCAAAAUAAUCUCCGUGCAAACAUUCUGCAAACAGAUCAAUUCCAUAUCCUGUAUCAAACAUCCUACUUGGAGCCCACUGAAUAAAUGGAUGUCUUUGCUAUAAAAUUAUAAACCAGAACUACAUGUAGCAUCAUAACCAUAUAGAUUUGAAAUACUUCAACUUUCAGCAUAAGAGUUUUCAGUAUUGUAAUAACAGCAGUAUAAAUAGCCACAUUUUCUGAGCGUUGCAAAGGACAAGUGAUUAAGGUCAGCAACCACACACGAGUAGUUUGCCUUUGGUGCCUAAUUGAAGACUACCUGGAGCAGACUGCGAAAGGUGCAGAGUACCUGAGGCUCCCGUUAAACUGUGAUGGACUUGUGGAUGCUUUGUAUUUUCUGGUAAUCACUCUGGAGAGAUUUUAAGCUGUGCAAACUGCAAGAUAAUUUGGAAUAAGAGAAGCUCGCCUGCAGAGAGGAUAAGGCCGGUUCAAGACCACGGCGCCCGCUCCUGCAGGUAGCAAAGCUCCCUCCGAGCUCCGCGCUGUCCCGGUGGAGCGCACCCUUCCACCAGCUCGCCUUCCCAAAGCAAACCACAUACCACAGGGAUUUGCUGGGUAAACGACGAGUCACCCCUGCAAUAUCAGCGCUGGCGAGAAAGAGAGGAAGAGCUGUAAUAAGUGCUCCUCACCUUGUGUAACUCGCCACGGGAAGAUGCUUGGGUAUUUGGGAGGGUGACACACCUGAGACCCUUGCUGAGAUGUAUUAGACUGUACCAGAGAGUUGUCUGAAUUGUGAUAGAGAUAUCCAGCUCGGAGUCAAAGGGCUGGAGGAAGCCGUGAAGGCUGAGAGCAACCAGGUUGGCUCAAACCCCCUAUUCUACUGGGAGAUGCCGAGUCAUAGCUCUGCUGGAUUGGCUUCCCGCCACCUCGCUGCUCCUUUAAAACCCCAUACCUCCCAUUGAAGGAACUCGGUGUCCUGUUCGCCAGGAGGACGUCAAUGUUUCUAUGGAAACUCUUCCCAAAGAUUCUAGCUCCGCGCUGCCGCCGCUGCGUAUUGUAUGACCGGCUUUGUACACUGCAAUUCAUUAUCGAGGCUGUGACGAAAAGGGAGCAGCUUUCUGCCCGAAGGGAAAAAGCAUUAAAAAAAAACAAACCACCAAAA